CACGUAGGCACCAAGCGUUGUCCGGAUUUAUUGGGCGUAAAGAGCUCGUAGGCGGCUGAUCACGUCGGAUGUGAAAGCUCAGGGCUCAACCCUGAGAGGCCAUUCGAUACGGAUCGGCUAGAGGUAGGUAGGGGAAAGUGGAAUUCCUGGUGUAGCGGUGAAAUGCGCAGAUAUCAGGAGGAACACCGGUGGCGAAGGCGGCUUUCUGGGCCUUACCUGACGCUGAGGAGCGAAAGCUGGGGGAGCGAACAGG
rnacentral:rRNA from 1 species